GACGAACGCUGGCGGCGUGCCUAAUACAUGCAAGUAGAACGCACAGUUUAUACCGUAGCUUGCUACACCAUAGACUGUGAGUUGCGAACGGGUGAGUAACGCGUAGGUAACCUGCCUGGUAGCGGGGGAUAACUAUUGGAAACGAUAGCUAAUACCGCAUAAUAUUAAUUAUUGCAUGAUAAUUAAUUGAAAGGUGCAAUUGCACCACUACCAGAUGGACCUGCGUUGUAUUAGCUAGUAGGUGAGGUAACGGCUCACCUAGGCGACGAUACAUAGCCGACCUGAGAGGGUGAUCGGCCACACUGGGACUGAGACACGGCCCAGACUCCUACGGGAGGCAGCAGUAGGGAAUCUUCGGCAAUGGACGAAAGUCUGACCGAGCAACGCCGCGUGGGUGAAGAAGGUUUUCGGAUCGUAAAGCUCUGUUGUAAGAGAAGAACGGGUGUGAGAGUGGAAAGUUCACACUGUGACGGUAUCUUACCAGAAAGGGACGGCUAACUACGUG
rnacentral:rRNA from 1 species